rnacentral:rRNA from 1 species
AUUGAACGCUGGCGGCAGGCUUAACACAUGCAAGUCGAACGAGUGGCGGACGGGUGAGUAAUGUUUGGGAAUCUAGCUGAUGGCGGGGGAUAACUACGGGAAACUGUAGCUAAUACCGCGUACCAUAGGAUGAGCCCAAGUGGGAUUAGGUAGUUGGUGAGGUAACGGCUCACCAAGCCGACGAUCCCUAGCUGGUCUGAGAGGAUGAACAGCAACACUGGGACGGAGACACGGCCCAGACUCCUACGGGAGGCAGCAGUGGGGAAGAUUGCGCAAUGGGGGCAACCCUGACGCAGCCAUGCCGCGUGUAUGAAGAAGGCCUUAGGGUUGUAAAGUACUUUCAGCGGGGAGGCGUUACCCGCAGAAGAAGCACCGGCUAACUCCGUGCCAGCAGCCGCGGUAAUUC